UGCUGUUGUUAUUAAGACGGUUGUUUUCUCGUGCUGUCGUUGUGCGCCCAUCUCGACCGAGAGGUCCCGCGGAGUUGGGAGAGGCGGCGAAAAGGCCGUUAAAUAAUAAUAAUCAUAAUAAUAAUAGCAAUAAUAAUAAUAACAAUAAUGAGAAUAACGGCUGUAAGAGGGCUCGUCGCUGUAAUUCAUUGCUUCUGGCCCUGGGAGGGCGAGAGCAGAGUGGCAGCACGGGGGGGGGUUCGGGGGGCAGCUCCCCUGGCAUCGCGCUGAGGGGGCACGGGGGGGUCUGGGGAUGGGGACCCCUCCUAUGGGGGGGGGUCUGAGGAUGGACCCCCCCCCUAUUUUCAGGCCUUGGCUGUGGGAAGUUGGCUCCGUCCCCGCUGCCAUCCCAGGGCUGGGAUCGAGGCCUGUGCUGGGCGCUGGGGGUGGGGGUGAGGGGGGUGCAGAGCAGCGCUUUCCCCUCUCCUCACCUCCUCUCCUUCCGUUUCAUUUUCGUUUAUUUAUAUUCUUUUCCUUCCCCCCCCCCCCCUCCUUUCUCUCUCCCCCAUCGAUUGGAGCUGCCAUUAAACAAAUCACGGCCUCAGACCCCUUUGUGAUAGCAGAUCUGUGAGGGCAGAAAGCGAAGGCUGUAAUUCAUCCCGCAGAGUUUUGACACAAAAUAGAGGCUGGAGAGAGAAAAACCCAUCGGCAGAGCGCGGAUCCGUCCGUCCUACUGCAACAAUUCCUGCCCAGCGUGGCACUGUGCGGAGCCGGGUGGGAUUUGGGCUGUUCCAAAGGCACAACCCCCCCCCCCCCAAAAAAAGAAAUACCCCAAAACCACCAUCCAAACCUAUGGAAAAAUUAGGAAAGGGAAGCGAAAGGCUGUCAGCAAAGGGCACCCCGGGCUCGGCCCAUCCGGUGGGUUAUUUGUAACGCCCUCCUCUAUAGGCCAGAAAUCAAAGCAGAGAGGGGAAGGGGAAAUAAAGGGCACCGAAGGAGGUGAAGCCACCCGAAAAUCUGCGGUGUGGCCAAAGAGCCCCGAAUUUCUGUACCCCAUCGUUGUGGAGAUGCUCUCUGCCUUCAGGCUGUCCCCCGGAGCUCCCAGCCACGUAAGUAAGGAAUAAACAGCAGGAAUAAUAAUCAUUCAUUAAUAAUAAUAAUGAUAAUUAUUAUAAGGAUCGGAACACGUAAAAUAACGUCACCUGAACCCUUUCUCCUCAUCCCCCCCCCCCCCCCC
ensembl:lncRNA